rnacentral:piRNA from 1 species
UGUUAGUGAUGAUGUAUAAAGCUAA